rnacentral:rRNA from 1 species
GGUAAGUUCCGACCUGCACGAAUGGCGUAAUGAUGGCCAGGCUGUCUCCACCCGAGACUCAGUGAAAUUGAACUCGCUGUGAAGAUGCAGUGUACCCGCGGCAAGACGGAAAGACCCCGUGAACCUUUACUAUAGCUUGACACUGAACAUUGAGCCUUGAUGUGUAGGAUAGGUGGGAGGCUUUGAAGCGUGGACGCCAGUCUGCGUGGAGCCAACCUUGAAAUACCACCCUUUAAUGUUUGAUGUUCUAACUCGGCCCCGUGAUCCGGGGUGAGGACAGUGUCUGGUGGGUAGUUUGACUGGGGCGGUCUCCUCCCAAAGAGUAACGGAGGAGCACGAAGGUUAGCUAAUCACGGUCGGACAUCGUGAGGUUAGUGCAAAGGCAUAAGCUAGCUUGACUGCGAGAGUGACGGCUCGAGCAGGUACGAAAGUAGGUCUUAGUGAUCCGGUGGUUCUGAAUGGAAGGGCCAUCGCUCA